rnacentral:lncRNA from 1 species
AUUCUUUUAGUGGUUCUUACCACCCCUGAGUGACCUCCUAUUAUACUUGAAUGGUACUCAUUUAGUAGUAAUGGAAUCACCGAGGAUUUUGGAUUUAGGACAUAUCUAUCAUAAAAUAAUACAUACCCUUCUUUAGAGAUUCUCAUGUCUGCCAUUCCAUUUAAUUUCCAGCGAUGAUCUUGUAGAAAUAAGAUUCUCAAUGACAUAUUUAGUUGUUAAUUAAUUUUAAGUACAGUAAACCCUAAUUAACAAGAUAUAGAAAUAUAUGAGUUAAAGCUAAAUAGAUCUAUAAAACUCAUAUAUAUAAAAUUGACUUGAUAUAUGAUUAAACUAAAGUGAGAUUAGUAUUAAUUAUUUCCAUAACAAAUCUCUCCAUUAUUAAUCAAGUUAAUUAUUGAAACUUGUAUUUAAUUAUGCACACCUAUUUGAUUGUAUUAACUCUUGUUUAAGUUGAUCAAUGUCUUAAAGGUUAAUCAACAAGGUGUGAAACUACAACUAUUCAUUCAAGCUUCAAAUGGACCCAAGGUGUAGAAAACGUGUAGAAGUGCAAUCAUGAUAAAGAUUCCAAGAGCAUAACCAAUAUAUUAACUACAAGGAUCUUGGAUUCAAUGCUACACAAAAUCCUAGUUGAAGAGUUCAAAUUGAAGAAGUGCAAAACAUGUGGAGGCUCAAUCUCCCAAGAUGAAAUCCAAUCAAGAUCUUGAAUUUAAUGUUAUACAAUCUCCAAGAUGAAAAUUCAAAUUCAGGAAAAGCUCUCCACCAAUGAAAAUCGUCUAUGGAGUAUUCAAUGAGAGUUUUUGAAUCUCUUCUUCCUAGGUGUUUUGAAGAUGAAGAAUUUACCUCCAUGCCACUCACGUCCACUAUAAAAGGAGGUGCACACCAAAGAGCUAAAGUCAUCACUUGCCAAUUAUUGCUGAUUCACCUCCUUGAUGUUAAACGGUAUCGUAACAGUGUAGCAUCUCUUCUAAGAAUCUGAUCAGUUCAAAUCGGUUGACGACUUAUCAAAAUCUUAAUUUGAGUUCAAAAAAUACAUAGUUUUUUUCUAUGAUAUAAUAUGGGCGCGCAUCAAGUGCGCCAUACCUUGAAUGUGUCAAAAUGCGUCAUCAAAUCGCG